rnacentral:rRNA from 1 species
GACGGAGGAUGCAAGUGUUAUCCGGAAUCACUGGGCGUAAAGCGUCUGUAGGUUGUUUAAAAAGUCUGCAGUUAAAGGUUGAAGCUUAACUUCAAAAAUGCCGUAGAAACUUUUAAACUAGAGGAUGGUAGGGGUAGAGGGAAUUUCCGGUGGAGCGGUGAAAUGCGUAGAGAUCGGAAAGAACACCAACGGCGAAAGCACUCUGCUGGGCCGACACUGACACUGAGAGACGAAAGCUAGGGGAGCGAAUGGGAUUAGAACCGUACCGUCGAGUCCAAGACCAGUCUCGUCU